CAUACCGGUGAAUGUACAAGCUGAGGAAGGCGUGCGCAUGAGAGACGCCCUACUAUGUCCCCUUUGUUCCUUCUCUUUUGCUCGUCUCCGCGUCUCUCUUUUCGGACAACGCGGAGGCAAAACCUCACAGUGCGUCGUAUUUUGGGGUCCAGUACUCCCCUCUUCCCCAUUCUUUCUGGGAAAAAGCCUGGCAUCCUCUUCCCCUUAUCCCUCUGCCAAGUGCCGAGCCACUUUGGGCGAUGGCAGGGCUAGGCCUUGGACGGCCCUGCUUUGCAGCAGCCUGAGCCAGUGAACACGUCUGCGCCAUCUAUAGGAUGGGCAGAGUAUCACCGUGUCUCGAACGUACCCCACACCCCCGGCCCUCACACUGUCCCACUGGCGGGUGAGCCUGAAAGCCACCCCGAGGAGGGUUGCGCCAGGUGUGGCGCCCGGCAUGAUGGGGGAGCGGCUGUGAAACGACCUGCUCAGCGGAUGGUAGGUGGAGUUUGAGGCAGGGUCCGUGCCUUCAGAUUGGCUGCACCGGCAUUUCUGCAAUGCUCAGCUACCACCUCUGCGCGCCAUCGCGAUGUGUCCUUACGGCAGAGGGGUGGGGCUGAGCUCAUGCCGUAUGAAAGCGAUUUGAACACGUCGAAAGACGGGAAAGGGGGAAAAAAAAACGACGGUGUUUCCUCACGAAUGUGUGAAAUGAUUCGUGCAGUGUGGGCGUGGGCAUGUUGUUUCCUGUUGUCUUGGUUAUUUGUUGAGCGUCCAUAACGCUCCAUCGUGCGCCUCCACGCAAUGUCGGCGGUGAUACGCUUAAAUGGCUUGUGUGUGUUUCGGUGAAAGAAGAAUGAAGAGAAGCACGCGUGUAAGAUAUCCGCGGCGCGCAUCAGGAUGAAUAGGGGGCAUGUCGACUGAGUAAAACCCGAAGAGAUAGAACAAGGCGGCCCACUCUGCAUGGCAUGCCGGCUGUUUCUCUGCGUCUUCCUCCUCUCUUCAGCCUCCGGCCCGCACGCAUGCGCGCGGGAGCCGGUUUUGCCGCUGUAGAGGUGUUGCAGUUACUUUUUGUCUGCCAUAGUCGUUUUCAAAUAGGGCCGAGGCCUGCCCGCUGGUGCCUGAAGCCUUUCUUGCUCCCAAUCCUGUGUACGUCUCACAUGCCACAAGGUUUUUCUGGGCGUUGCUGUGGCCCUGCCCCACGCACCGGUAACGCGGCCUGACCUUCUAGACUUCUCCCUCUCGCUUUUCCUUGCUCCUCAUCUGUAAAUGAGCGACCUCUCGCCCACCACACCAG
rnacentral:misc_RNA from 1 species